AUUGAACGCUGGCGGCAGGCCUAACACAUGCAAGUCGAACGAGUGGCGGACGGGUGAGUAAUGUCUGGGAAACUGCCUGAUGGAGGGGGAUAACUACUGGAAACGGUAGCUAAUACCGCAUCCCAUCGGAUGUGCCCAGAUGGGAUUAGCUUGUUGGUGGGGUAACGGCUCACCAAGGCGACGAUCCCUAGCUGGUCUGAGAGGAUGACCAGCCACACUGGAACUGAGACACGGCCCAGACUCCUUCGGGAGGCAGCAGUGGGGAUUAUUGCACAAUGGGCGCAAGCCUGAUGCAGCCAUGCCGGGUGUAUGAAGAAGGCCUUCGGGUUGUAAAGUACUUUCAGCGGGGAGGCGUUACCGACAGAAGAAGCACCGGCUAACUCCGUGCCAGCAGCCGCGGUAAUA
rnacentral:rRNA from 1 species